CUUCCCUCCACUAUUGUCCUAUGACCCUGCCAAAUCCCCCUCUGCGAGAAACACCCAAGAAUGAUCAAUAAAAAAAAAAAUAAAAAAAAAAACAACCAAUCAACAAACAACCUCAUAAGCCCAGCAGACCGUGAAGGCCCCAGGAACUCAGGGCAGAAGUUAGCAAUGUGGGUUCUGCCCUCGUUGGCCAGAAAGGUGCGGUGUGGCCAUUUCACUUCCCUCGCUGGGCCUUGGAUUUCCUUACCAGAAACAUGAUGGUCAUAGUCACUGGCCAGUUGACUGCCCAGAGGUGGCACAAGGAUGAAAUGCAAUUGGACUCAGAGAACCGUACCAUGAGCCUAAAGCAUCUCAUCAUUCAACCCCACAAAUCUCAGGACAAAGUCAGUGCUCCACGGCGUCCAUCCCCGGCUCCUCCCUCCCUAACUGGCAGAGACCAGAGGGACACACACGUGCCUCAAGUUCACACAGCAACAUGGAACACCCAGGCCUCUCGUUUUCUGAAGCUUUUCCACCCCUCCAAACCUUUGCUAUAAUUAUCACCACUGCAACUUUUAACUAAAACUGAUUAAAAGUUUACCACGUGCCAGACACUAUUUUAAGCAUUUCUCCUGCAUCAUCGCAUCAAAUCCUCAUAGUAACUCUGUGAGAGUUGUUAUUGUUGUUGUUUCUGUUUCACAGACACAGAGGAGUUGAGAGAUUUCCCCGAGGUCACACGGCGACGUGGACCCAGGUGUACGUCCCUUGCAAAGCUCGUGCUCUAACCAUGACACCACACUGCCUCUGGCCCUGAUGACUCUUGCAGACACUCUGACGGUUUGGUCCCAGUUCCUGGUUGGAGGGGGACCCCUGAUAAACAGGGGUCACUGCUGAUCUGGCCUUUCUGGAAUUCUGCAGGGUCUGCCCUCACUUCCCUGCCACUCACCCUCACCCCACCCCCAGCCUCUCUGCUGUUUGCUGCUGUACCGCACAGCCUGUUCACCCCAGGAUCUGCCCCUUCCUCUUCCAGGGUUCCAGGGCUUCCCAGAAGUCAGGCUUCCAUUCCCGCAGGAAGGGUGCAAACAGGCCAGUUCCUGCUGUGGGGAGGAGUGGGUGCCACAGUCCCUCAGAUCACUAAUCUAUUCGAUCCUACUGUGUGCCAAGUGCUGCUCUAGGUGCAGAUGAACAAGCCAGGUGGGGCCUGCCCUUGGGGAGCCUGAGGCCAAUGUGCCCGAAGGGUGCCCAGUGCCCUACAGCCCGAGACAGACCCUGGCUGCAUGAGGCUGCCCAGCACUGCACCCCAGGAGACAGGACAGCAGGAGAGCAGGAGUUGGACGCCCGCCUGCCCAUCCAGCAGCAACAGGCACUGGGAAAGGCCCCGGGACAGGUCCCCAUGUCCCAGGCACAGUGACACUCUCUGGCAUGGAGCCAAGGCAGAACUUGCAGCAGCCUGGGAAGGUGGAUCCUGGGGCCACAGAUCUGGAUGAAGAACUUUCCUCCCGGAAGGCAAAGGCAGGCACCGCUGCUUGCCCCAGACGGUGGGGGUGCUGAGGCCUUGGCGCCACGCCUCUGUGGGGUGAGGGCCAUCUUGAGCCAGAGCCUAGAGUGCAUUCCAGAACCUGAUCUUAUCACUCCACCAAGGACGCUAGUAUUCUGGGGGAUUGAUUUGCUGCAACCAGUGAUGGAUUUAAAACACAUGAGGAAGCCAAUUCAUUCCUUCACCCUGGGCCUGCAGAACCAUCCGAGCUGCACUGGGGCAGUUCUGUACAUCUCCAGUGAAUCCAGCCCUGCACCCCUCUGUUAACGUGCUUUUCAAACCAAACAGUGGAAUGCAUUGGUCAUCACAGGGUUUGAUCUGAUGUGAAAAGUGUUAUAAAGCCAUUCCAAUUAAAGUGCCUCUGGCCUUGUGUUUCCUGAAAGCUGCUAUUGAGAGGAAUAUAAUUGCAUGAGAACAGCA
rnacentral:lncRNA from 1 species